AUGUUGUAUCAUGUCUGUGUUGUGGAGGUUGUAGUGAUGUUGUAGUGAUGUUGUAUCAUGUCUGUGUUGUUUAGGUUGUAGUGAUGUUGUAUCAUGUCUGUGUUGUUUAGGUUGUAGUGAUGUUGUAUCAUGUCUGUGUUGUUUAGGUUGUAGUGAUGUUGUAUCAUGUCUGUGUUGUGGAGGUUGUAGUGAUGUUGUAUCAUGUCUGUGUUGUGGAGGUUGUAGUGAUGUUGUAUCAUGUCUGUGUUGUUUAGGUUGUAGUGAUGUUGUAUCAUGUCUGUGUUGUGGAGGUUGUAGUGAUGUUGUAUCAUGUCUGUGUUGUUUAGGUUGUAGUGAUGUUGUAUCAUGUCUGUGUUGUUUAGGUUGUAGUGAUGUUGUAUCAUGUCUGUGUUGUGGAGGUUGUAGUGAUGUUGUAUCAUGUCUGUGUUGUGGAGGUUGUAGUGAUGUUGUAUCAUGUCUGUGUUGUGGAGGUUGUAGUGAUGUUGUAUCAUGUCUGUGUUGUUUAGGUUGUAGUGAUGUUGUAUCAUGUCUGUGUUGUGGAGGUUGUAGUGAUGUUGUAUCAUGUCUGUGUUGUGGAGGUUGUAGUGAUGUUGUAUCAUGUCUGUGUUGUGGAGGUUGUAGUGAUGUUGUAUCAUGUCUGUGUUGUUUAGGUUGUAGUGAUGUUGUAUCAUGUCUGUGUUGUUUAGGUUGUAGUGAUGUUGUAUCAUGUCUGUGUUGUGGAGGUUGUAGUGAUGUUGUAUCAUGUCUGUGUUGUUUAGGUUGUAGUGAUGUUGUAUCAUGUCUGUGUUGUUUAGGUUGUAGUGAUGUUGUAUCAUGUCUGUGUUGUGGAGGUUGUAGUGAUGUUGUAUCAUGUCUGUGUUGUUUAGGUUGUAGUGAUGUUGUAUCAUGUCUGUGUUGUGGAGGUUGUAGUGAUGUUGUAUCAUGUCUGUGUUGUGGAGGUUGUAGUGAUGUUGUAUCAUGUCUGUGUUGUUUAGGUUGUAGUGAUGUUGUAUCAUGUCUGUGUUGUUUAGGUUGUAGUGAUGUUGUAUCAUGUCUGUGUUGUUUAGGUUGUAGUGAUGUUGUAUCAUGUCUGUGUUGUUUAGGUUGUAGUGAUGUUGUAUCAUGUCUGUGUUGUUUAGGUUGUAGUGAUGUUGUAUCAUGUCUGUGUUGUUUAGGUUGUAGUGAUGUUGUAUCAUGUCUGUGUUGUGGAGGUUGUAGUGAUGUUGUAGUGAUGUUGUAUCAUGUCUGUGUUGUUUAGGUUGUAGUGAUGUUGUAUCAUGUCUGUGUUGUGGAGGUUGUAGUGAUGUUGUAUCAUGUCUGUGUUGUGGAGGUUGUAGUGAUGUUGUAUCAUGUCUGUGUUGUGGAGGUUGUAGUGAUGUUGUAGUGAUGU